ACAGCUCAAAUUUGAAAUCUGGCCCUUUCAGGGUCCGAGUUGUAAUUUGCAGAGGGUGCUUUGGUGUUGGCGGCGGUCUAAGUUCCUUGGAACAGGACAUCGCAGAGGGUGAGAAUCCCGUAUGUGGUCGCCCGCCUUCGCCGUGUAAAGCCCCUUCGACGAGUCGAGUUGUUUGGGAAUGCAGCUCUAAAUGGGAGGUAAAUUUCUUCUAAAGCUAAAUACCGGCCAGAGACCGAUAGCGCACAAGUAGAGUGAUCGAAAGAUGAAAAGCACUUUGGAAAGAGAGUCAAACAGCACGUGAAAUUGUUAAAAGGGAAGCGCUUGCAGCCAGACUUGCCUGUAGUUGCUCACCCGGGCUCCUGCCCGGGGCACUCUUCUGCAGGCAGGCCAGCAUCAGUUUGGGCGGUAGGACAAAGGCCUCUGACACGUAUCUCCCUUCGGGGUUAACAUAUAGGGGGGGCGCAAUGCUACCAGCCCGGACUGAGGUCCGCGCAUCUGCUAGGAUGCUGGCGUAAUGGCUGUAAGCGGCCCGUCUUGAAACACGGACCAAGGAGUCUAACAUCUAUGCGAGUGUUUGGGUGUCAAGCCCGAGCGCGUAAUGAAAGUGAACGGAGGUGGGAACCCCUCGGGGCGCACCAUCGACCGAUCCUGAUGUCUUCGGAUGGAUUUGAGUAAGAGCAUAGCUGUUGGGACCCGAAAGAUGGUGAACUAUGCUUGAAUAGGGUGAAGCCAGAGGAAACUCUGGUGGAGGCUCGCAGCGGUUCUGACGUGCAAAUCGAUCGUCAAAUUUGG
rnacentral:rRNA from 1 species